GAAACGGGUCUGUCCCGGGUCUCAAGAGGAUUCUGUCCACCAACUGAAGGACAGUUUCCUGGUGCAGUGCUGCCAAACCUCCUGCAGAGGGCAGUAUUGGUCGACUGGUUUUGAUGAAGGAGUGUGAAUGAAGGCAGCAGCAUGGAUCAGUGGAAUGAUGAGAUAAAUCUUCUGCCCCGGGAACCGAACAGACGACAAGAAG